AUUUAUGUAGUUUAAUUAAAACAUUACAUUUUCAUCGUAAAAACAAAAAAUAUUUUCAUAAAUA
rnacentral:tRNA from 1 species